UUCAGUUUGUUCACGAGACUGGGUUCCCUAUGAUGGCCAUUGUUAUUUUCUGAAUGAAACUGUGGACACUUGGAGCAAUGCCAAGAAUAUUUGCGAAAAACAUGGUGCCCACCUUGUAGAAAUUGAAACAACGGCGGAAACUCAUUGGAUCCAGUAUAAUUUUCUCUCUGACAGAAAAAAUGAUUGUCAAGACCCGUCUUAUUGCUGUGAUUGUUGGAUUGGGGCCACAGAUCUUCAUACUGAGGGCGUUUUUACUUGGAAUUUUCAUACUAAUGUCACGUUUGAUGAUUUCAACGAGGUUCAGACUCAAAAUAUUUUUUCGAAAGACUGCGUCCGUAUUUGUAAUGCCGGAUACUGGGAUGUUGAAAACUGUAAUAACAAACAUAUUUUUAUUUGCGAAAAAAAGAAUGAUUGACCAAAUACAUCUCUAAUGCUGAAAAUUACAUGAUGCUGUAUUAUCAUAUAGAUAUCUUAUCUCAUAUAAUUCUAUAUGCAUUUUAAAUGCGCCAAGCCAUUGCAUUGCUAUCUAAACAUUCAUUAGGCUGAUGUUUGUAUUCGUAUUCAUUUUGUUUCCUUUACUUAUUCAUUUUUUUUAAGUAUAUGUUCAAAAAUAUUUGGACUCGACCUCAAUCCUAAUCUUAGGUGAUAACAAUUGUUGCGAAUUGUACCUUCGCUGAGCAUUCGGCAUUUUCGAAUGAAAGUCUUGGGACCUUUACAAAAGAUCUUAAAGUUCAUUGAUACUCUGAUAAGGGAGACAAAUCUUAAUGAUAUCAAUGUUCAUUAUUCCUUUAUGGAUUUUUCAAGUUGUAGGGUCCUUUUUUGUCCAAUUUUUCCCCUCAAGCCAU